rnacentral:rRNA from 1 species
CAACGACUCUCGGCAACGGAUAUCUCGGCUCUCGCAUCGAUGAAGAACGUAGCGAAAUGCGAUACUUGGUGUGAAUUGCAGAAUCCCGUGAACCAUCGGGUCUUUGAACGCAAGUUGCGCCCGAAGCCGUCAGGCCGAGGGCACGUCUGCCUGGGCGUCACGC